AGCGAACGCUGGCGGCAUGCCUUACACAUGCAAGUCGAACGGUAACAGGUCUUCGGAUGCUGACGAGUGGCGAACGGGUGAGUAAUACAUCGGAACGUGCCUAGUAGUGGGGGAUAACUACUCGAAAGAGUGGCUAAUACCGCAUGAGAUCUACGGAUGAAAGCAGGGGAUCGCAAGACCUUGUGCUACUAGAGCGGCCGAUGGCAGAUUAGGUAGUUGGUGGGAUAAAAGCUUACCAAGCCGACGAUCUGUAGCUGGUCUGAGAGGACGAUCAGCCACACUGGGACUGAGACACGGCCCAGACUCCUACGGGAGGCAGCAGUGGGGAAUUUUGGACAAUGGGCGCAAGCCUGAUCCAGCAAUGCCGCGUGCAGGAUGAAGGCCUUCGGGUUGUAAACUGCUUUUGUACGGAACGAAAAGCCCUGGGUUAAUACCCUGGGGUCAUGACGGUACCGUAAGAAUAAGCACCGGCUAACUACGUGCCAGCAGCCGCCGUAAGAC
rnacentral:rRNA from 1 species